UCGCCAGCCUGAGCAUGG
rnacentral:misc_RNA from 1 species